GCCUCUGUGGCUGAGUGGUCAAGAGCACUGAUUCUCAACCUGGAGGUGCUGGGUUCGAAUCCCGGCCAGGGCG
rfam:Asian citrus Psyllid, Diaphorina citri - Florida Strain, whole genome shotgun sequence.